rnacentral:rRNA from 1 species
CAGUAGCCGCGGGAAUACGUAGGGUCCGAGCGUUGUCCGGAAUUAUUGGGCGUAAAGAGCUCGUAGGCGGUCUGUCGCGUCUGCCGUGAAAUCCUCAGGCUCAACCUGAGGCGUGCGGUGGGUACGGGCAGGCUAGAGUGCGGUAGGGGAGAAUGGAACUCCUGGUGUAGCGGUGGAAUGCGCAGAUAUCAGGAAGAACACCGAUGGCGAAGGCAGUUCUCUGGGCCGUAACUGACGCUGAGGAGCGAAAGCGUGGGGAGCGAACAGGAUUAGAUACCCCCGUAGUCCCUGUCUCUUAUAC